AACGAACGCUGGCGGUGUGUCUCAUACAUGCAAGUCGUACGCGAAUCCUGCCGCAAGGCAGGGUUUGAGUGGCAAACGGGUGCGUAACACGUAGGUAAUCUUCCUUUGAGUUGGGGAUAAGCCCUCGAAAGGGGGUCUAAUACCGAAUAACACUUCGGGCCGGCAUCGGCCUGAAAUUAAAGAUGGCCUCUGCUUGCAAGCUAUCGCUCGGAGAUGAGCCUGCGGCCGAUUAGUUAGUUGGCGGGAUAAAAGCCCACCAAGACUUCGAUCGGUAGCCGGUCUGAGAGGAUGUCCGGCCACACUGGGACUGAGAUACGGCCCAGACUCCUACGGGAGGCAGCAGUAGGGAAUAUUGCGCAAUGGCCGCAAGGCUGACGCAGCAACACCGCGUGGGGGAUGAAGGUCUUCGGAUUGU
rnacentral:rRNA from 1 species